rnacentral:rRNA from 1 species
AGUGAACGCUGGCGGUAGGCCUAACACAUGCAAGUCGAACGACAGCACAGUAAGAGCUUGCUCUUACGGGUGGCGAGUGGCGGACGGGUGAGGAAUACAUCGGAAUCUACUUUUUCGUGGGGGAUAACGUAGGGAAACUUACGCUAAUACCGCAUACGACCUACGGGUGAAAGCAGGGGAUCUUCGGACCUUGCGCGAUUGAAUGAGCCGAUGUCGGAUUAGCUAGUUGGCGGGGUAAAGGCCCACCAAGGCGACGAUCCGUAGCUGGUCUGAGAGGAUGAUCAGCCACACUGGAACUGGGACACGGUCCAGACUCCUACGGGAGGCAGCAGUGGGGAAUAUUGGACAAUGGGCGCAAGCCUGAUCCAGCCAUACCGCGUGGGUGAAGAAGGCCUUCGGGUUGUAAAGCCCUUUUGUUGGGAAAGAAAAGCAGCAGGUUAAUACCCCGCUGUUCUGACGGUACCCAAAGAAUAAGCACCGGCUAACUUCGUG